ensembl:lncRNA
CAGGGCAAGGCCGGGCAGGGCCGGGCAGGGGGUGCGCAGCCCCCGCGCCUUCGCAGCCGCCGCCUUCUCUUGCCGCCUCCCCGCCUGCGAAUUGGGCUGUCCUCGUGACCCGCACUUUUCGGGUGAGGUUGUGUGACGCAGAGAGUGGCAAGGGGUCUCCGGGCAUGCCCUUUCUCUGGGUCAUUCUGCAGCCACGGGAGGGGCUCCGCGGAUAUGCCAUUACUGUUUGCAGAGCUUUCCAGACCCCCUGGCGUGGGCCGAGAAUGCCGGCGGUGCCUGGCCUCCUGCAGCCCCGCCGCCCUCACACUGUCUCCAGGCCCGCAGCGGAGGGGGCUCCGAGGAAGGACCUUCAAUAGAACCCGCGUCCUCCCCACACACACCUGAUGCUUUCCUUCCCCGGUGUCUCCACCGUAGGACCUUGGCAUCGCCACCCACCCCUCUGCUGGGGCUGAAACCAAGUCGUCCCUCUUGACUCUCCUCCCUGACACCCAUGGCUCUCACCCCAACCCCACCUGCACGUCCACAGCACCUUGUGGCUGCCCUCCGGCCCCCUGGCCUCUGCCGUCUCCUCUGUUCUGACAGGUGCCCAGAACUCUCCUCCUUGCUGUCACUGCGUCCUGUGGGCUCCCUCCCACAGCCUUUCAAGAGAGAAAUCAGAUUCAGUCACUGCACCCCCGCCCACGCCUCCCCUUUGCCCCCAGAAACCUACAGCCUUUCCAUGGCCCCCAGGGCCCCAUAGCAAUCAGCCUUCUUGCGCGCCUCAGCCUCUACAAGCAUGUUCCAAACCUCUCUUAGGAGAGAGUAUGUACGGGGAAGCCUGAAGGAUGAGAGGGAACUAGCAGCUGAAGAGUCAGGAACAGUGACUCUCUUCCUCCGGCAGAGGGAACAGUAAGGGCAAGGACCCUGAAGCAGAAAAGCCCUUGGUCACUUCUGGGGUGGCCCAGGGCCUCUGUGGCUUGGUGUGCAAGGUGAGCACUGUGAGGGGAGAGGAUCAGGGAGAUCGGCAGGGGCCAGAUCGCUCAGGGGAGGAGUUUGGGUUUUCAGCAGGAUUGAGACCUGACCCAGUUUAUUGGCUCAGUCUCUCUGAGCCUCCAUUUUUUCCAUCUAGAAAGUUGAGAUAAUUACCAGUACCUACAUCAUAGAGCUACUGAGACGGAACAAUGAGAUCAUACUGGGCCUGGCACAUAGAAGCAUCCAAUAAAAGGUGUCUGCUGUCACGGUUGUUGUCUCAAUUUCGCUGCCUUCAAUUCCUAGGUGAUUAACUGUGGGCAACUCAUUUAACUUCUGUGAGGCUCAUCUUUAAAACUGGAAUGAAAUAUUUGGAGCCUCUGAGGAGAUCAACGGGACAAUGAGUAUAGAGUUCUUGGCACCCAAUGUUUCUAAUCCUCAGAUUUCUCCUUUUUAAAAUGAGAAAAUCCCUUCAGGGUUUUUGAGAAUGAAAUGAGAUGACACAGCUAACAUCUCUAGCACAGUGCCAAAGACACAGUCAUCUACUCAAAAAAGUCAGCUAUGCUUAAGACUAACAUCUUUUUUAUCAUAAAAGUACUGCU